GAUGAACGCUGGCGGCGUGCUUAACACAUGCAAGUCGAACGGUGAAGGCGGAGCUUGCUCUGCUGGAUCAGUGGCGAACGGAUGAGUAACACGUGAGCAAUCUGCCCCUGACUCUGGGAUAAGCGCUGGAAACGGCGUCUAAUACUGGAUACGAGCUGCGAAGGCAUCUUCAGCAGCUGGAAAGAAUUUCGGUCAGGGAUGAGCUCGCGGCCUAUCAGCUUGUUGGUGAGGUAAUGGCUCACCAAGGCGUCGACGGGUAGCCGGCCUGAGAGGGUGACCGGCCACACUGGGACUGAGACGCGGCCCAGACUCCUACGGGAGGCAGCAGUGGGGAAUAUUGCACAAUGGGCGAAAGCCUGAUGCAGCAACGCCGCGUGAGGGACGACGGCCCUCGGGUUGUAAACCUCUUUUAGCAGGGAAGAAGCGAAAGUGACGGUACCUGCAGAAAAAGCGCCGGCUAACUACGUG
rnacentral:rRNA from 1 species